UACUCCGGGGAUAACAGGCUGAUACCGCCCAAGAGUUCAUAUCGACGGCGGUGUUUGGCACCUCGAUGUCGGCUCAUCACAUCCUGGGGCUGAAGUAGGUCCCAAGGGUAUGGCUGUUCGCCAUUUAUCGGCAAAGUUUACUCGGCGAUGCGCCGCGCG
rnacentral:rRNA from 1 species